rnacentral:rRNA from 1 species
UACGGAGGGGGCUAGCGUUGUUCGGAAUUACUGGGCGUAAAGCGUGCGCAGGCGGUAAGUUAAGUCUGAUGUGAAAGCCCCGGGCUCAACCUGGGAAUGGCAUUGGAAACUGGCUUGCUAGAGUGUGGCAGAGGGGGGUGGAAUUCCGCGUGUAGCAGUGAAAUGCGUAGAUAUGUGGAGGAAUACCGAUGGCGAAGGCAGCCUCCUGGGAUAACACUGACGCUCAUGCACGAAAGCGUGGGGAGCAAACAGG